GACGGAGGAUGCGAGUGUUAUCCGGAAUCAUUGGGCGUAAAGCGUCUGUAGGUUGUUUAAAAAGUCUACUGUUAAAGAUUGAAGCUCAACUUCAGAAAUGCCUUAGAAACUUUUAAACUUGAGUAUGGUAGGGGUAAAGGGAAUUUCCAGUGGAGCGGUGGAAUGCGUAGAGAUUGGAAAGACCACCAAUGGCGAAGGCACUUUACUGGGCCAUUACUGACACUGAGAGACGAAAGCUAGGGGAGCAAAUGGG
rnacentral:rRNA from 1 species